rnacentral:ncRNA from 1 species
GUUAAGUUUGAUUUAAUCUUAAAAAUUAAUUUUUUGCAAAUAUUAUACGUUUUAUUUUUAAUAAAUUUAUAUAUCAGUAAUAAGUAUUUUCUAAUUGAAUAAUCAAUUAAGUUAUGCAUUAAUUUUAGAAAAAUAUUGUGCCAGCUUUCGCGGUUAGACAAUUUUAGUAAAUAAUUUUUUUUGGUUUUAAUUUCUAUUAAUGAAUUAAAAAUUUAUUUAUUUAAGUGAAAUUUUUAUUUAAAUUAAUUUCUUAUUUAAAGUUUAAUAAAUCUUUUUUAAAAACCAGGAUUAGAUACCCUGUUAUUUUAUAUUUAAUUUUUAAUAUCAUAGUACUAAAAGAUAUUUUCUUUAAAAUUUGAAUAAUUUGGCGGUAAAUUAUUAUUAGGGGAACCUGUCCUUUAAUUGAUAAACCACGAUAGGUUACACUUAAUAUUUAUUUGUAUACCUCUAUGUUUUGAGUAUUUUUUUUAGAAUAUACUUUUUUUACUUAAUUAUUUUAUAUUAGGUCAAGGUGCAGUUAUUUUUAAGUUAGUGUGGGUUACUUAAAAUUUUAAUAUUUAGGAUAAUUAACUAAGAGGUAAAUUUGAAUUAGGAUUUAAUAGUAAUUUAAAAUAAUUAUUUUAUUUGAAUAAUUAUUUAAUUUAUGCACAUAUUGCCCGUCACUCUCAUUUAAAUUGAGAUAAGUCGUAACAAAGUAAUUGUACUGGAAAGUGUAAUUAGAAUAUU